AGUUCCGAUUGCUCUCAACAUCAAGUUUACAUUUGCUCGGGAAAAUUAUGUAUUUUCCGUGAAAACAAACAGGCAGAGUCGGGUUCGGAUUAACAAAAUAUGCCAUUGGGAAAAUAUCACUGUGACUACUGCGACAAGCAAUUCCAAGACACGCCUUCUGCUAGAAAGCGCCAUCUCCAAGGUCUUCAGCACCAAAGAGCCAAAGCUCUCUGGUACGACUCCUUCAGAGAUCCAAAUCAGAUUCAGGCAGAGGGCUACGGGAAAGGAGUCUGCAAUCGCUUCGUUAGAACGGGAUUUUGCCAGUAUGGUGAUUCUUGCAAAUAUUUUCAUCCGAAGCAAAGCUUACAAAAUACAAAUACUCAAUCCGUACCAGUGACAGGCUUCCCAGAUAAUAUUCAGUCACUAAGUAAUCCAGGGAACCAAUUAGUUGGAGGCGGUCCAUUGCCAGGUAAUGUGGUCAAAGAUAGCAUGGGAAAUUCCUGGGGCAAUCUACCUCCAUCAUUAAAGCCUCCUCCAGAGGGUGGAUAUCCACCUCUUCCAUUUUUGGAUUGGGGAUGAGAGGCCUAUUUUAUCCAGCGGUCAACUUGGAGUCGAAUCUGACCUUGUGCCUGCUUCAACAUAGAGUACACAUGUGAGGCACGGCCAUGCUGGAUUUUCAGGGUUCCGACAGAGAGGUCACAGAGCACUUACUUGUUAAGCUGGCCGCUUACAUAUGCAAUUAGUCUACUCAGAUGUAUUUCAGAAGCCACCUUGUCAUUGUACAUCACCAAGCCUUUGAAGACUGAGUCUUUUAUUUGUUCAACUCUUCCUGCAAGAAUUUGUAAGAGACUGCUUUUUCCGCUCCCUGUAAGUUUUAAAUGGUUGGAUGAUUAGAUUGGACAAAUAUUGUCUAACAAAUUGUUUAUCAUCAUGAAUUGGUACGAACCACCUUGAGAAUAUCAGUUAUGUCGAACAAUUGAUUGUGAAAAUCUUAAAAAUCUAAUGGAUGAUCCCAGUUCUCUUCUAUUCA